CUUCUCUUAGCAAAGAGUCAGUGUGUUAAAUUUAGGAUUUAAAGAGGGAAGGUUACUUCCAGAGAAGA
rnacentral:tRNA from 1 species